UUUUUUUUUUUUUUUUUUUUUUUUGCUUUUUAGGGCCACACCCACAGCAUAUGAAGGUUCCCAGGCUAGGGGUCAGAUAGGAGCUACAGCUGCCAGCCUACACCACAACCACAGCAACAUGGGAUCCAAGCUAAGUCUGCAACUUACACCACAGCUCAUGGCAAUGCUGGAUCCUUAACCCACUGAGCGAGGCCAGGGAUCGACCACGCAUCCUCAUGGAUACUAGUCGGAUUCCUUUCAGUUGCGCCACAGCAGGAACUCACAGCAGCCCGUUUUUUUUUUUUUUUUUACCUCAGACUUCAGGCCAGGUUCCCCAAACCAAGAAAGAGCCUUAUGUUCUGGUUACAUUGUUGACAAGAGGUCACCAAGAAUGGGUGUGGCUAGUGCUAAAAUUUUAAAAAAUACAAACUGUUCUAUAUUGCCAAAGGAUAACUUAUUUUAUUUUUACGUUCCUCUACUCCACCUCAACAAGAAAUAUUUUAGGACUGCAGUGAUCAAACUUAGGAGUUCCCGUUGUGGCUCAGUGGUAAUGAAUCUUACUAGUAUCCCUGAGGUUUUGGUUAUAAUCCCUGACCAGUGGGUUAAGGAUCCAGCAUUGCUGUGAGCUGUGGUGUAGGUCCGCAGCUACAGUUCCAAUUCAACCCCUAGCCUGGGAACCUCCAUAUGCCACAGGUGCAGCCCUAAAGAAACAAAAAAGCAAAAAAAUAAAAAUAUAAAUAUAAGCUUAAGCAGUAGGGUCAGACCAAUUUAUUGUCAAGGUGUUGACAGAGUCACAAAAACUUCUUUUAAAAAUUUACUCACUUUGGCAAUAGUAGUAGCUCAGGCUUGCUUGAAAAGCAAGUGAGGAAGAACUGUUCCUUUUUUCAUCCUUCUGGAGGGGGUAUGUGGACACAGAAGGACCUUUGGUGUACCCAUGGCCACCAUUUAUGGAGUAUUGAAGCUUUGUGAGAUCUUGGGCAUCUUCCUGCAGCCUGAACACCUCCUGUUCUUAUCCCAGGAGUCCACAGGGAAGUGGUCCAUACACUUGCUAGGACUGUACAUAGAACAGUGUAAGUGUGCGAGAACUCCGUCUGGAAACAAGGCAACAACGACCUCAAAAUUGCCUACAUUAGAUUCCCCCAGGGACAGACACAUGACUCAGAAAAGAUCAGGGGCCCACUUGCUGUCCACAUGGCUGACAAGUGCUCUCAGCCUAGCAACCUCCCCCCACACACACCCACCCUUCUAUUGGACACCUGGGGAAGGAGGGGGAAACAGACUUUGGGCCAGGGAUGUCUAAUGAAAGAGGCUAGAGCUUCAAUUCUACCUCUCCCCUGCUUGCCUUGUUUCGUUGGCGGAGGGAUUUGAUCAGGCUGAUCUUCAGUUUUCUCAUCUUAAAAAUGGGCCUAAGACCACCUCGCUCCUCUGGUGUGAGGUGCUAACAUCUCGUGCUUUGAAGACCCCCUUUUUGAGAAGCCCGCUGGCAGUGUUGGCAUGUUCUUGUUAGAAAUGCAGACUCUCAGGCUCCCCUUAGACACACCGAGUCAGAAUCUGAAUUUUGACAAGAUCCCUACGGAGUCUAGAUUAACUGAUAUUUGCAUUAGGGAUUCAAAUAAGGCUUGCAGUUGUGUGACUGGAACUCAAAAUGGAUGGCGUUUCAAGUCCUGGUUUUCAUCUCCGCCCCAUCCCACUCCUUGGACUGGCCCACCUGGAGUUGACUGUAAUCAAGAUGAACUUUAUCUUUCCAUAAGGCGUCAUUUAGAGAAGGCCUCACAUGACAAGUUGCAAAAUGUGCAGAUGCAAGCUAUUCUAAGCAGACCUGCCCCCUGCCCCCCACGCCCCAGGAGGCCCUCCUCUCUGAUAGAGCUGGGGAGGAAUUCCAGGGUGGAGACCGUGCUGUUUUUGUGUCAUCAAAUCUCUGCUCCCCACCUUGCUGUCUUUUUUGCCCUCACUCCCCAAUGCUUUAGCAUCUAUUUCUUAAGAACAUAGACGGUCUCUUUCCUAACUACAGUAGAGUUACCAAACCCAGGAAAUUCAACAGUGAUAUGACCCUAUGAUCUAAUCAACAUUCUGUAUUCAAAUUUUGUUGACUGUCCAAUCAUGUUCUUGGUAGCAAUUUUUUUUCCUCUAGUCUGGACUUGUUCCACAACAUCCUACUACAUUUAGCUGUCAUGUCUCCUUAUUCUGAAACAUUUUCUCAGUCUUUGUGUUUCUUGACCUGGAUGUUUUUGGAGGGUACAGGCCAAUUCUUUUGUAGAAUUGGAUUUCUGAUAUUUCCUCAACGUGAGAUUCAGGUAGUGCCUUUCUGGAAGGAAAACCACAGCAGUGAUCUUGGGGCUUUUUUAGGACACUUGCUGCGAGUUUGUUGCACUAGUUGAUGAUGUCCGUUUUGAUCACUUAAGGAGCUGUCUGCCAGGUUUUCCCCAAUUAAUAUGUUAUUUAGGAGGAAGUACCUUGAGAUGAUACAAACACCGAUUUCCUCCUCAAAUUUUUACCCACUAGUUUUAACAUCCAUUGAUGGUUUCCUAGUGCUGUUGUUCCUUCUGUAUUUAUUAGUUGGCAUUCUAUGAUUUCUCUUCUGUUUAUGUGUUUGUAUCUUUAUUCCAUCAGUGCAGACUUGUGGAGAAGCCCUAUACCCUUAGGUCUUGAGGCUUCUGUGAUCCCCCCACUCCAGAAUCACUGGGAACCAGCCAGAGCAUCCAGAACUUGGAGCUGCCUAGAGAGGGGGGCAUGGGAGGGUGGAUGCACAGGAAAGACUUCAUAGCCAAACGGGCUUCAUCAUCUUGUUUCCAAACCAAGGCCUUUAUUUAGCCUGGAAGUGUGGCUUUCUUCACUGGUACUCACAGGUUGACACUGAGACCCCUUCUUGGAGAGGAGAAACCCCAACGGAACACAGCUGUGCUCCUCUCUUUUCUCCCCUCCAGGGUGUACCUGCAAUGGCCCAAGUGAAUAUUCCCAAUUCAGUACGAAAUGUCUCAGCCUAAGUACUGUAAAAGAUUCCAAGAUGUCAAAAAAGUUUACCUUUCCAUUACAGACCAGAAAACCCAAUGGGUAGGUUCUAGGAACCCUUUAAGCCUGGCGUUUUUUCAAAGUAAACUUGAGCUUCUAUCCAGUUUGUUAUGGUACCUGAAUUUCCUUUAAAACUCUUUAGAGGAGUGUCUUGGUGGCCUAGUGCUUAAGGAUCCAGCGUGGUCACUGCUGUGGCACAAGUUCAAUCCCUGGCCUGGGAACUUCCCUAUGUUUUGGGCAAAAAAGAAAAGCAAAAACAACAAAACAAAACAAAAAAGCCUCUUUAUUUAGGAACUGUGAUUGAGAGCAGGGAGGCAUAAGACUCCCACACUGUAGGUGGUAUGCCCAUCUUACAAAGAAAUUUUUUCUUUAAUUUACAGGAGUUUAGCAAGGGAUCGAGGUUGCUUUGUUGCCAGAGUCUCAGUAUUUACAGUUUGCUUCAUGGACUUGCUUUAUUAAACCUUAUUUCAUUUAAAUCAAGGGAUUUUUUUUUUUUUUACAUACUGAAUUUAUUUUACUCUCUUAGUGUCGAAUAUAUACCGAUGCCAUUUCACAUAUAGGUUAUAUUCAAUUGCAAUAAUGUUUAUUUCUAAUACAGCACAACAUUUGCACCUGCAGUGGAAAUUAUAUCUAUCCUCUCCCAAAGAAUGGAGGGCAUAUUUGAAUAAGGCUCCAAGUAUUUUGACAAUCUUUCUAGUUUGAUUUUUGUUGUUGUUACUUCAUUUCAGUAAUAUAUUUCUUUUUUUAUUGAGGUAUAAUUUCUAAUGUUGUGGUAGUUUCAAAUGUACAACAAAGUGAUUCAGUUAUAACAUAUAUGAGUGUAUUAUAUAUAAACAUAUAUAAAUAAAGGAUACAUUAUAUAAACAAAUAAAAGAGUAUUUAUAUAUAUGUAUAUAUACUCCUUUUCAGAUUCUUUUCCAUUAUAGGUUUAUUACAAUAUAUUGAGUACCAUUCCCUGCGCUAUAUAGUAGGUCCUUGUUGUUUACCUAUUAUGUAUAUAGUAGUGUGUAUCUGUUAAUCCUCAAUUCCUAAAUUAUCUAAGGGAUAAAAAAGCAAAUCUCUUAAUUGGUUAAACGGCUUGCUAGCAACAAGGUUUUAUAGGUGUUUUCUUUUCAACAAGGUUUUAUAUCUGUCAAAUAAGCCACGUUAGAGAAAUAAGUGAUAAAAUGGACCAUCUUUUUCCCCCUGAAUCUGCCAGUGCAACAGUAGGCCUUUGGGGAUACCCCAUACUGACCUGCUGUGCCAGCUAAACUAAUUGUUAGGAGUUACCCUUUUGGCUCAGCUGGUUAAGAAAUUGACAUAGUGUCUGGAUUUGAUACCUUACUUCACUCAGUGGGUUAAGGAGCCAGUGUUGCCUUGAGCUGUGACAUAGCUCACAGAUACAGCUCAGAUCUGGUGUUGCCAUGGCUAUGGUGUAAGCCAGCAGCUGCAGCUCUGAUUCAGCCUCCAGCCUGAGAGCUUCCAUAUGUGGCAGGUGCAGCUGUAAAAG
rnacentral:lncRNA from 1 species